GCUGUAGCUCAGUGGUAGAUCAUCUGCUUGGUAUGCAGAAGGUCCAAGGUUCAAUCCCCAGUAUCUCCA
rnacentral:tRNA from 1 species